GGAAUCUUGCGCAAUGGGCGAAAGCCUGACGCAGCCAUGCCGCGUGAGUGAUGAAGGUCUUAGGAUUGUAAAGCUCUUUCACCGGUGAAGAUAAUGACGGUAACCGGAGAAGAAGCCCCGGCUAACUUCGUGCCAGCAGCCGCGGUAAUACGAAGGGGGCUAGCGUUGUUCGGAAUUACUGGGCGUAAAGCGCACGUAGGCGGAUAUUUAAGUCAGGGGUGAAAUCCCGCAGCUCAACUGCGGAACUGCCUUUGAUACUGGGUAUCUUGAGUAUGGAAGAGGUGAGUGGAAUUCCGAGUGUAGAGGUGAAAUUCGUAGAUAUUCGGAGGAACACCAGUGGCGAAGGCGGCUCACUGGUCCAUAACUGACGCUGAGGUGCGAAAGCGUGGGGAGCAAA
rnacentral:rRNA from 1 species